CCUUGAAAACAUCUUGUCGGCAAAAUAACGGAUUUAUCGGUAAAUUGUUUUCGUUAGUCAGAGAAAAAAAUUUGAUAAAUUUACGAAAACAUUACUGAAAAAUUUAACAAAUUACGGUACAUUAACUCGAAAGUUAGCUUUGGGAAAAGAAAUAUUAAUUAGCGACUGAAAUGUUGUCGGGAAAUGCGAUACUACACCCCCCUGUUUUAGCCUCUUCGCGACGGCCCUGCUAAUUUGAGUAUGAAGGCACAGAAUAGAUAAUUACACCAGAAGUCUCACUCAAGCAAAUAUGUGUACGUCCGCGUUUUUACAAGCGAUCCUCAUCAAUUCACGCCAUCUUGGCUAGUACGACCGGCACUUUGUACCUACCAAAACCUGAUAAAAACGUCCGGUUGUACUAGCCAGGAACGGCAUGAGCAAGUUAAUUUUUUACGGACGAAAACAUCAAAAGUUCCGACUCAAGUGAGACUUUUGGUGCAAUUAUCUAUUCUGUGAUGAAGAUUUCAAUUCAGAGAUCCGUUUAUGGCGGCAAAGGUCUGUAGACAAGCGAGAUAGAAAAUUGAUGACGCUAACUCGGAUCAGGAAUGACUAUAUAAUAUAUUAUACAGUAUAGUAUAAUAUUUAUGUGGUUGGUCUCCAGAAAUCAAUUAUAUCAAUUCCCAUAUGCAAUAUCAGGAAACGGAAAAUGUUUUCAUCUUUCUGAGAACCUGGGUUUUCAGGAUCAAAAUUGUCUGCAAAAAUUCACAAUAUAAUAUUAUAGGGAAAUCAGUGGACGGUUCCGGCAAUUCUAAAAUUGAGAAAAUUCUGAAAGUUGAAAGUUAAAUUUGCAGCAAAUCUAUCUUUCGACUCACAUAUUUCUUAUCGAUAACACAAAAUUCCAUAUCCUUUUCGAUGUCAUAAAUUAUUUUAGAAAAAUGUCUGAAAGCC